ACGGGACCUUUCGGGGUCUAGUGGCGGACGGGUGAGUAACGCGUGAGAACAUGCCCUUAGGUUCGGGACAACAGUUGGAAACGGCUGCUAAUACCGAAUGUGCCGAGAGGUGAAAGAUUAAUUGCCUAAGGAUUGGCUCGCGUCAGAUUAGCUAGUUGGUGGGGUAAGAGCUUACCAAGGCAACGAUCUGUAUUUGGUCUGAGAGGAUGACCAGACACACUGGGACUGAGACACGGCCCAGACUCCUACGGGAGGCAGCAGUGGGGAAUUUUCCGCAAUGGGCGAAAGCCUGACGGAGCAAUACCGCGUGAGGGAGGACGGCUUUUGGGUUGUAAACCUCUUUUAUCAGGGAAGAAACAAAUGACGGUACCUGAUGAAUCAGCAUCGGCUAACUCCGUGCCAGCAGCCGCGGUAAUACGGAGGAUGCAAGCGUUAUCCGGAAUUAUUGGGCGUAAAGCGUCCGUAGGUGGUUUUUCAAGUCUGCUGUCAAAGCGUGGAGCUUAACUCCAUAUCGGCAGUGGAAACUGGGAGACUAGAGUGCGAUAGGGGUAACGGGAAUUCCCAGUGUAGCGGUGAAAUGCGUAGAGAUUGGGAAGAACACCAGCGG
rnacentral:rRNA from 1 species